UUGAUAGUACCUUACUACUUGGAUAACCGUGGUAAUUCUAGAGCUAAUACAUGCUAAAAACCCCAACUUCGGGAGGGGUGUAUUUAUUAGAUAAAAAACCAAUGCCCUUCGGGGCUCCUUGGUGAUUCAUGAUAACUUCUCAGAUCGCAUGGCUUUACGCCGGCGACGGUUCAUUCAAAUUUCUGCCCUAUCAACUUUCGAUGGUAAGGUAGUGGCUUACCAUGGUUUCAACGGGUAACGGGGAAUUAGGGUUCGAUUCCGGAGAGGGAGCCUGAGAAACGGCUACCACAUCCAAGGAAGGCAGCAGGCGCGCAAAUUACCCAAUUCCGAUACGGAGAGGUAGUGACAAUAAAUACUGAUACAGGGCUCUUUUGGGUCUUGUAAUUGGAAUGAGUACAAUUUAAACCUCUUAACGAGGAACAAUUGGAGGGCAAGUCUGGUGCCAGCAGCCGCGGUAAUUCCAGCUCCAAUAGCGUAUAUUAAAGUUGUUGCAGUUAAAAAGCUCGUAGUUGAACCUUUGGCCUGGCUGGCAGGUCCGCCUCACCGCGUGCACUUGUCCGGCCGGGCCUUUUCUUCUGGAGAACCGCAUGCCCUUCACUGGGUGUGUUGGGGACCAGGACUUUUACUUUGAAAAAAUUAGAGUGUUCAAAGCAGGCCUUUGCUCGAAUACGUUAGCAUGGAAUAAUAGAAUAGGACGUGCGGUCCUAUUUUGUUGGUUUCUAGGACCGCCGUAAUGAUUAAUAGGGACAGUCGGGGGCAUCAGUAUUCAAUUGUCAGAGGUGAAAUUCUUGGAUUUAUUGAAGACUAAC
rnacentral:rRNA from 1 species